AGUCAAUAGAUACCCUGGUAGUCCAUGCCGUAAACGAUGAUUGCUAGGUGUGGGGGGUCUGACCCCUUCCGUGCCGGAGUUAAACACAAUAAGCAAUCCACCUGGGGAGUACGGCCGCAAGGUUGAAACUCAAAGGAAUUGACGGGGGCCCGCACAAGCAGUGGAGUAUGUGGUUUAAAUUCGAAGCAACGCGAAGAACCUUACCAGGUCUUGACAUCCACCGAAUCCUGUAGAGAUACGGGAGUGCCCUUCGGGGAACGGUGAGACAGGUGGUGCAUGGUUGUCGUCAGCUCGUGUCGUGAGAUGUUGGGUUAAGUCCCGCAACGAGUCGCAACCCUUGUGAAUAGCUGCUACGAAAGAGCACUCUAUUCAGACCGCCGUUGACAAAACGGAGGAAGGUGGGGAGUGACGUCAAAUCAUCAUGCCCC
rnacentral:rRNA from 1 species